GAUGAAGAACGUAGUGAAAUGCGAUAAGUAGUGUGAAUUGCAGAAUUCAGUGAAUCAUCGAGUCUUUGAACGCACAUUGCGCCCCCUGGUAUUCCGGGGGGCAUGCCUGUCCGAGCGUCAUUGCUGCCCUCAAGCACGGCUUGUGUGUUGGGCCCCCGUCCCCCCCUCCCGGGGGACGGGCCCGAAAGGCAGCGGCGGCACCGCGUCCGGUCCUCGAGCGUAUGGGGCUUUGUCACCCGCUCUGUAGGCCCGGCCGGCGCCUGCCGACCACCAUCAAUCUUUUUUCAGGUUGACCUCGGAUCAGGUAGGGAUACCCGCUGAACUUAAGCAUAUCAAUAAGCGGAGGA
rnacentral:misc_RNA from 1 species